rnacentral:misc_RNA from 1 species
GAUGAAGAACGUAGCGAAAUGCGAUAAGUAAUGCGAAUUGCAGAAUUCAGUGAAUCAUCGAAUCUUUGAACGCACAUUGCGCCCCCUGGUAUUCCGGGGGGCAUGCCUGUUCGAGCGUCAUUUCACCACUCAAGCCUCGCUUGGUAUUGGGCAACGCGGUCCGCCGCGUGCCUCAAAUCGUCCGGCUGGGUCUUCUGUCCCCUAAGCGUUGUGGAAACUAUUCGCUAAAGGGUGUUCGGGAGGCUACGCCGUAAAACAACCCCAUUUCUAAGGUUGACCUCGGAUCAGGUAGGGAUACCCGCUGAACUUAAGCAUAUCAAUAAGCGGAGGA